GGGGGAGCUCAGUGGUCAAGAUGUUGGACUACUGAUCAGAAGGUCAUGAGUUCAAACCCCAGCACCCA